AAUACAGAAAAUUCAAUCUAAUUUAAAAAUAGAUGAAACUAUAUAUAUAUUUUUUAAAAAGUGUAAACAAUUUUUAAAACAAGAAUGCUGGCAACUCAUUUUAAAUAUAUAUAUAUAUAUAUAAAUAAAUUUGAAGUACUAAAAUGAUUAAAAACUAAAAUAAAUUAUAGAUUAUAGCUCAAUAGAUUUAAAAAAAAAUUGAAAACCAACAGAGGACAAACACACACACACACGCGCACACACACACACACACAAACACACACACACAAACACACACACCCACACGCACACACAAAAUAAGGCCUACUCUACUGUGUGUGUUUUGCAGGCUUGUACAGGAGUGUCUGCCCCCCGCUGGCUCACGGACACCCUGCACAAAACAAGCAGCAUUCUUCACAUUCCCUUUCCAUCCCCUCUGUACAUUGGGACCCAUGUCAAAAGGUCAUCACCCUUGUGGCCUUGUGUGCUCCAGCUGUCGCCUACGUCAGGAGCUCCUGAAUCGUUUCAGCCCUAAAAUAGUCUGCAAACUUUAAUUUUAGGAACAACUUGGAAUAACCCUGGCUC
rnacentral:lncRNA from 1 species